rnacentral:lncRNA from 1 species
UCCCGUAUACUGUCCUUCACACUCUCUCUCUCUCCUCCCUCACGAUUACUCUCAGUUCUCUCUCCCUCUCCUUCGAACUCACACGGACCACCACAAAACCACCUAAAACCUAUACCAACGACGAAUCUAACACCACCAUUGGAACCCUGAAGACUUCACGAUCACGAUGGUAUCCAUUUCAAGUAAGUUUUGCUUCGGAAAACCCUAGUUUCAAAGUUCCCGUGAAAUGGUACUGUUCAUGAUCUUUUAAAUGGUUACGAUUUAGGCUAAAACAAGAUCACAGCGAGCUUGGUGAGGUCCCAAGGAAGCUCGGAGUGCUUCGUUGGAAGUUUUUGGACGUAAGAACACGGAGAUCGACAAGUUCAAAGUUUGGCCGGAGCUUUCGAGGCUUUUUCCGGCGAAUCCCCGGCGAGUUAGGAGUCGAGGUAGGUAUCAAUCUCUUCGUCUCGUCAAGUACUACAACUUUCCUUUUUGUUUCACUCAAUUUAGUUGAGUAUUGAAGAAGUUAUACUCAUUUGAAAAAUACCCAGUUUCCGGCGACCUCCGAGGCUUUCGAGGCAGUUUCCGGCCAAAAAACGGCAAACUAGGUGUUGUGCAAGGUACCAUUCUCUUUGUAUAUUCAAGGGCUACAACUUUCGUUUUUGAAUCACUUGAUUUCGUUGAGAAAUGACAAAGUUAUGGCAAUUUGAAAAACUGCCCAGAAAACGGCCGCCGGAAAAACCAGUCCGGCGACCCAAGGAAGAAGAAGGUGCUACAGUAAAAAUAAAAAAUAAAAAUAAAAUUAUUUUAAAAAUAUGUCGACGUCCGUGACGUCGAGUAGAUCACUGUGGUAUAUUCAUAUACCUAAAUUGAACACCGUAUGAGAAAGUUAUUGAGGAUUGUUGGUUAGGUGUUCAAAUAACGUUUUAUAGUUUUCACAUUUAGGUGAAAAUGUGAAUUGAUGAUCCGACCGUUGGAUCAUCACCAAACUUUGAUACGUUGUAAUACGUAAUAUUUUGAGGAUUAUUGGAACUUACGGAUUGGGAAUCCGAGUUACGGAUCUUCCGGAAUUGGAAUUGUAAGUCCAUAAUAUAAAAUGUUAACCGUCACUUAGUUUUGGAAAUUGACGGAGAUCCGACCGUUGGAUGGUAAUGAAAUUUUAGGAUGUUAUCCUAGAGAUAUAUUGUGGACCUCUGGAAGUUAUGGAUUUAAAAUCUGAGUGGCAGAUCUUCCGGAUCGAACUACGUAGUGACGUAUUUUAUAUAAGUUAUAUAUUCUAUCGAUAUGAAUUCUGAGGUUGGAUUUGAUUACUAUUCUAGGCGGCGAUCGUCGUGACGCCUUGAUGUGUGGUGCUAGGGAGUUGUUGGACGAACUCCAGGUGAGUGGGCAGUUUUGUUUUCCGUAUAUAUAUAUAUACUUAUACGUUUUUUCCCAGAAAUUGAAAAUGCAUGAAAUUAUGUUUUAAAAUGAAAUGCAUAUGAGUUAUGUGGAAAAACGGGAAGUGAAAUACCAUGCAUAGAAUUGAUAUGAAAAAAGUAUAUAGAAAUGUGAGUUGAAAUGCCAUGCAUGAAUUAAUAUAUGAUGCAUAUGUAUGAAUUGGUGCGGUGGACGCACAGGUAAGAAUUGAUUUAUGAUGCAUAUGUAUGAAUUGGUGCGGUGGACGCACAGGUAAGAAUUGAUUUAUGAUGCAUAUGUAUGAAAUGGUGCGGUGGACGCACAGAUGAGUAUUUAAUUACUGUUAUGAUGAUGAUGAUAUAUAUUGAGCUCAAAUCCUGCACCAUGGUUUAGUGCUUAUAGUAUUCACCGCAUCGCACGCUCGCCUUGGAUCCAAGUAGAUGCUAGUCGUACAGUCCACGCGGAGUGGGUACGACAGACCAGUCGCGAGAGUGUUAGUGAGAUUCCGACUGGUGGGUGACCUUAGAUUAUGUGCACAGAUGAUUUAUGAGAAGCACUAGAGCGUAACUUGUGUGCAGAAGGCCGGACGGGUCACAGAGGUGACUCCGGUAGAGUGAUAAUGAUAGAUUUUGAGCUCUAGGUUCAACCGUAUAGGGCUAUUAGAGGGCCUACGGUUGAUUACUUUCUUGCACCUGAUAUGAUUAUGUUGAUGCAUUCAUACCUUAUUACUGUUGAGAUGAUGUGGCAUGGCAUAAUUAAUAUGAGAAAUGUUGAGAUGACAUGGCAUGGCAUGAUUGAUAAAGAGAUAAUGUUGAGAUAGUAAAAAAUGAAGUUUUGAGAAUAUAUAUGUAUAUUUAUAUUUUACAUUUCUGGGAAAGUAUACAGGUUUUACGGAGAGGGGUUACAACGUUUUGAGAAAUGUUUGGAUUUGGAAAAGAAUUGUUUUACUGACCCACUCAAUUUUGGUUUUGCGCCCCUCCAGGUUCAGGAAUCACAAAGGUGUGGUGACUACGAGGAAUUCGACGGUGUUCUGACAGAUUGGACAAAAUUAGGACUCACCUUCGGGUGUAUCAACUUAUAAAUUAUAUCUUAAAGCUUCCGUACUGUGCAAAUGGUUACGUCACUCUCACGUGACGGCCUCAGAACACCGUCGAAUUCCUCGUAGUCACCACACCUUUGUGAUUCCUGAACCUGGAGGGGCGCAAAACCAAAAUUGAGUGGGUCAGUAAAACAAUUCUUUUCCAAAUCCAAACAUUUCUCAAAACGUUGUAACCCCUCUCCGUAAAACCUGUAUACUUUCCCAGAAAUGUAAAAUAUAAAUAUACAUAUAUAUUCUCAAGACUUCAAGUCGUUAACUCAACAUUUUCAUACAAUUAUGCCAUGCCACAUCAUCUCAACAUUUCUCAUAUUAAUUAUGCCAUGCCACAUCAUCUCAACAGUAAUAAGGUAUGAAUGCAUCAACAUAAUCAUAUCAGGUGCCAGAAAGUAAUCAAUCGUAGGCCCUCUAAUAGCCCUGUACGGUUGAACCUAGAGCUCAAAAUCUAUCAUUCUCACACUCUGCCGGAGUCACUCCGCGUGACCUGUACGGCCUUCUGCACAUAAGUUACGCUCUAGUGCUUCUCAUAAUCAUCUGUGCACAUAAUCUAAGGUCACCCACCAGUCGGAAUCUCACUAACACUCUCCCGACUGGCCUGUCGUACCCACUCCGCGUGGACUGUACGACUAGCAUCUACUUGGAUCCAAGACGAGCGUGCGAUGCGGUGAAUACUAUAAGCACUAAACUAUGGUGCAGGAUUUGAGCUCAAUAUACAUCAACAUCAUCAUAACAGAAAUAAAUACUCACAUGUGCGUCCACCGCACCAUUUCAUACAUAUGCAUCAUAAAUCAAUUCUUACCCGUGCGUCCACCGCACCAAUUCAUACAUAUGCAUCAUAAAUCAAUUCUUACUUGUGCGUCCACCGCACCAAUUCAUACAUAUGCAUCAUAAAUCAAUUCUUACCUGUGCGUCCACCGCACUAAUUCAUACAUAUGCAUCAUAUAUUAAUUCAUGCAUGGCAUUUCAACUCACAUUUCUAAAUACUUUUCAUAUCAAUUCUAUGCAUGGUAUUUCACUUCCCGUUUUUCCACAUAACUCAUAUGCAUUUCAUUUUAAACAUAUUUUCAUUUCAAUUCAAUUUUUGGGAAACGUCAAGUAUAUAUAUAUACGGAAAACAAAACUGCCCACUCACCUGGAGUUCGUCCAACAACUCCCUAGCACCACACAUCAAGGCGUCACGACGAUCGCCGCCUAGAAUAGUAAUCAAAUCCAACCUCAGAAUUCAUAGUGAUAGAAUAUAUAACUUAUAUAAAAUACGUCACUACGUAGUUCGAUCCGGAAGAUCUGCCACUCAGAUUUUAAAUCCAUAACUUCCAGAGGUCCACAAUAUAUCUCUAGGAUAACAUCCUAAAAUUUCAUUUCCAUCCAACGGUCGGAUCUCCGUCAAUUUCCAAAAAUAAGUGACGGUUAACAUUUUAUAUUAUGGACUUACAAUUCCAAUUCCGGAAGAUCCGUAACUCGGAUUCCCAAUCCGUAAGUUCCAAUAAUCCUCAAAUAUUACGUAUUACAACGUAUCAAAGUUUGGUAACGAUCCAACGGUAGGACUCACCUUCGGGUGUAUCAAUUUAAAUUGUAUCUUAAAGCUUCCGUACUGUGCAAAUGGUUACGUCACUCUCACGUGACGGCCAGCAUGCCCUCCUUCGGGACGGGGUGUGUCAGUUGGUAUCAGAGCAUGGUUGCAAUCUUGGACAUUUUGAGAAGUUCUAGUGAAUUCUGUCAGAACUACACCGCCUCGUAGCAAACCACGUAGUUAGAGGAACUUAGUCUCCCUGAUUUAGCGGGUUAGGGGAAACUAUUCUUAUGGUGAUUCAGUAUAUUAGAAAAAUGGACAUUUUAAGACGGGUUAUGAGUUGAAUUUGAAUCACUUAAGAGAAAUGAUGAACCUGAGGGAACAAAGUGACGGAUUAACCAAUUGGAAAAGAUGUUUCGGAAUAUGCAAGUCAAAGGAAUCUUCCUUCUGACAAGGGGUCGAGACGACUACCUGGUUUUGGUUAUGAAUUUGUAUCCUGGUGGAAACAGGAGUAUGAAUUGUUGUCACCAGAGGAAUCAGUCGAUUGAGAAUAGUUUAAGGAAUAUUUAUAUUUUACAUUUCUGGGAAAGUAUACAGGUUUUACGGAGAGGGGUUACAACGUUUUGAGAAAUGUUUGGAUUUGGAAAAGAAUUGUUUUACUGACCCACUCAAUUUUGGUUUUGCGCCCCUCCAGGUUCAGGAAUCACAAAGGUGUGGUGACUACGAGGAAUUCGACGGUGUUCUGACAGAUUGGACAAAAUUAGGACUCACCUUCGGGUGUAUCAAUUUAAAUUGUAUCUUAAAGCUUCCGUACUGUGCAAAUGGUUACGUCACUCUCACGUGACGGCCAGCAUGCCCUCCUUCGGGACGGGGUGUGUCAGUUGGUAUCAGAGCAUGGUUGCAAUCUUGGACAUUUUGAGAAGUUCUAGUGAAUU